rnacentral:rRNA from 2 species
UACACAUGCAGUCGAGCGGAGAUGAGGUGCUUGCACCUUAUCUUAGCGGCGGACGGGUGAGUAAUGCUUAGGAAUCUGCCAUUUAGUGGGGGACAACAUUCCGAAAGGAAUGCUAAUACCGCAUACGUCCUACGGGAGAAAGCAGGGGAUCUUCGGACCUUGCGCUAAAUGAUGAGCCUAAGUCGGAUUAGCUAGUUGGUGGGGUAAAGGCCUACCAAGGCGACGAUCUGUAGCGGGUCUGAGAGGAUGAUCCGCCACACUGGGACUGAGACACGGCCCAGACUCCUACGGGAGGCAGCAGUGGGGAAUAUUGGACAAUGGGCGGAAGCCUGAUCCAGCCAUGCCGCGUGUGUGAAGAAGGCCUUUUGGUUGUAAAGCACUUUAAGCGAGGAGGAGGCUACCUAGAUUAAUACUCUGGGAUAGUGGACGUUACUCGCAGAAUAAGCACCGGCUAACUCUGUGCCAGCAGCCGCGGUAAUACAGAGGGUGCGAGCGUUAAUCGGAUUUACUGGGCGUAAAGCGUGCGUAGGCGGCUGAUUAAGUCGGAUGUGAAAUCCCUGAGCUUAACUUAGGAAUUGCAUUCGAUACUGGUCAGCUAGAGUAUGGGAGAGGAUGGUAGAAUUCCAGGUGUAGCGGUGAAAUGCGUAGAGAUCUGGAGGAAUACCGAUGGCGAAGGCAGCCAUCUGGCCUAAUACUGACGCUGAGGUACGAAAGCAUGGGGAGCAAACAGGA